rfam:Devosia chinhatensis strain IPL18 NODE_61, whole genome shotgun sequence.
GCACCCGUAGCUCAGCUGGAUAGAGCGCUGCCCUCCGAAGGCAGAGGCCACAAGUUCGAAUCUUGUCGGGUGCG